ensembl:misc_RNA 7SK 7SK RNA
GGCUGUGAGGGUGAUCUGGCUGCGACAUCUGUCACCCCACUGAUCGCCAGGGUUGAUUCAGCUGAUCUGGCUGGCUAGGCGGGUGUCCCCUUCCUCCCUCACCACUCCAUGUGCUUCCCUGUCCCUCCUGAAGCUGUGUGCUUGGUUGAAGAGGAUGGCCCUCCCAGAAUAGAGGCAGACCCGUCUUUGGUCGAGGAUAUGUGAGUAGCUGCGCUCCCCUGCUAGAACCUCCAAAUGAGCUCUCAAGGUCCAUUUGUAGUCAAGCUUCUGAGACUCCAGACACAUCCAAAUGAGGUGCUGCAUGUGGCAAACUGCCUUUCUUA